rnacentral:rRNA from 2 species
AGAGUUUGAUCCUGGCUCAGAACGAACGCUGGCGGCAGGCUUAACACAUGCAAGUCGAACGCACCUUCGGGUGAGUGGCAGACGGGUGAGUAACGCGUGGGAACGUGCCCUUCAGUUCGGAAUAACCCAGGGAAACUUGGGCUAAUACCGGAUACGUGCGAGAGCAGAAAGAUUUAUCGCUGAAGGAUCGGCCCGCGUCUGAUUAGCUAGUUGGUGGGGUAAUGGCCCACCAAGGCGACGAUCAGUAGCUGGUCUGAGAGGAUGAUCAGCCACACUGGGACUGAGACACGGCCCAGACUCCUACGGGAGGCAGCAGUGGGGAAUAUUGGACAAUGGGCGCAAGCCUGAUCCAGCCAUGCCGCGUGAGUGAUGAAGGCCCUAGGGUUGUAAAGCUCUUUCACCCACGACGAUAAUGACGGUAGUGGGAGAAGAAGCCCCGGCUAACUUCGUGCCAGCAGCCGCGGUAAUACGAAGGGGGCUAGCGUUGCUCGGAAUCACUGGGCGUAAAGGGCGCGUAGGCGGCCGAUCAAGUCAGGGGUGAAAGCCUGUGGCUCAACCACAGAAUGGCCUUUGAUACUGUUCGGCUCGAGACCGGAAGAGGUUGGUGGAACUGCGAGUGUAGAGGUGAAAUUCGUAGAUAUUCGCAAGAGCACCGGUGGCGAAGGCGGCCAACUGGUCCGGUUCUGACGCUGAGGAGCGAAAGCGUGGGGAGCGAACAGGAUUAGAUACCCCUGUAGUCC